rnacentral:tRNA from 1 species
GCCGCGGUAGCUCAGUGGUAGAGCAGUAGCUUGAAGAGCUUCGUGUCGGGGGUUCGAUUCCCUCCCGCGGCACCA